CCUACGGGGUGCAGCAGUAGGGAAUCUUGCUCAAUGGGGGAAACCCUGACGCAGCAACGCCGCGUGGAGGAUGAAGGUUUUCGGAUCGUAAACUCCUUUUGUUAGAGAAGAUCAUGACUGUAUCUAACGAUUCAGCACCUGCUAACUCCGUGCCAGCAGCCGCGGUAAUACGGAGGGUGCAAGCGUUACUCGGAAUCACUGGGCGUAAAGAGCGCGUAGGCGGGAUAGCAAGUCAGAUGUGAAAGCCUAUGGCUUAACCAUAGAGCUGCAUUUGAAACUGUUAUUCUAGAGUAUGGGAGAGGUAGGUGGAAUUCUAGGUGUAGGGGUAAAAUCCGUAGAGAUCAAGAGGAAUACUCAUUGCGAAGGCGACCUGCUAGAACAUAACUGACGCUGAUGCGCGAAAGCGUGGGGAGCAAACAGGAUUAGAUACCCCAGUAGUC
rnacentral:rRNA from 1 species